CUGGGUUCUGUUGUUGGCAACCAACAGAGUUGUUGUCUUUUCUCGCAUUCAUUAAAAUGCACAAGAAGAAAUUUCUAAUGGUGAGGGAGUACUUGCUUCAAAUUCAUACUUCAGUGAAAUAAACAACACCAUACAUAGGAAUGUGAAAGCAAAGUCAUCAUACACUGUUUGCUUCAUUGUAUGAGAAUCAAUGUUUGCAUGAUAAACUGCCCUAAUGGAAGAGGACUCUGAGUUACCUUUUUCGAGCAAAGCCACCUAGGUUACUCUGUUUUCCCCAGAGUGACCCUUCUGUUCUGCAAAUUUUCAGAUUGAAGGGAGUAGCAGUAGAGUAUCAGAAGUAUCAGAAGCAAAAAAGUAAAUGUAUGAUUUGCAAAGCAUAACAAAAUGAAAAAUAAGCUUCUGCAGUCAUGGAAGUUCAGAAUUGGAUAACAACUUAGAUUAUUUAUUCCAACCUCAUCGAAAAAGAGAUAAAGACAUGGAAUUCAGGAAAAGUGAAAUCUACUUAAAUGUACCAAUCACAGCAGAGUCUUUUGGAACUUAAACAUCUUGACUCUUCUGUUUAAAGCCUAAAUCAACCUGAGAGAAGAGAUGAAACAACUGAGGGCCAAAAAGUUUACAAAAUUUUCCAAGAUCAUACAGCUAAUUAACAACAUCUGGGCUCUUCUUGACUUUUGGAAUCCAAUCAGAUAACCUCAAAGUAAUGGGAGAAGAUACACAAGUGAUCAUUGCCAGGACUGAAGACUGUUCCUAGGACUACUAUUUGGAUCAACAGAAGCUGAAAAUGAGAAUAUCAAAGGCUGGGCAGAUAGUUUCACUCACGGGCAUUGAUCAGGAUGGCUGGAGGUCACCUGCUGCAAGAAGCACUGUGUUUUCUGUGCAGCUUAAUGAGAGGGAGCAUAUCAUUUCAGGACUCUCACAGGAUGCAGUGUUACUGAGAAUCUCAUGAGGCAAAUCCUAAAUGCCAGGAUAAAUUUGCAGAGAUAGAACUACUACUUUUUUUUUUUAAAUUUCCUUUUGUUAUGACUUGAACGUGUAAGGUCAUGCUUCGAGCCUGCUAUCCUAUAGCUCUCAAUUCUAAACUAGUUGCAAGUAUAUUGGACUUCUUGCCCUGACCCCUGUCCCUUUGAUAGGCCAGGUGAAUCCAAAUAUGCCCGAGUGCAUCUCACAGAAUACAUCUGAUUCUAGGAUGGGACUAGAGGUCUCCUGGUAUUUAGAACUGCAAAAUGAGGUAGCAAAAGCUCUAGUCAUAUGCCUCCCAUUUAUUUGACAUAUCAUCACAAACAUGUCCAUAAUUUACCAAGGUUGAUCCACUGCCUACUACAUUUGUGUGUGAAAAUGUGUCAUGCUUUGUGGAAAAAGUGAAAAUAGUUAUCUGUAUGGUGGGUGCACUUUGAGUGACUGGGGUGGGGUAUGAGCACUGUCUUACAAAAAAGUCAAGAGUAAUAUCUGACAAAGAUACUGUCCUUUACCCUGGAUACCAACAGAUGUUCUUGUUUUCAUUCAAAAUUACAAUUAUCAUUGAAGUGCACAGUGGCUUUUAAUUGAGACAGAUAAAACGUAACUUCAAGUAUUGAAGUAAUUUUUUUUUACUGUUUUUAAGACAACUGAAGAUCUGAGCAAUUCUUGGCAUGACUUUUCUCCAUUCAGUUUAGAUUUUUGUGAUAAAAGGCGACUAUAAUAAAGAGAAUGGUAAAGGAAAAUAUCUAACAUGGAAUUUAUAUCUAAUCUUCUUGAAAGUUAUGAACACUUGUUAAUCCUUAAUUUCAACUCUUGAGAUUUCAUCUGAUUUGAGAUAUUCCUUUGAACAUUCAGAGUAUAAAAUGUUUCAUAUGUGGUGAAGGAAUCCUAAUUUUCCUAUUAUACUAUAAGAAUGAAACAGGUGGCAAAUAAAUUAAACAACGGUAUGCAAUCUAUUAUUCAGUAGGUUCAGUUAAACCACCCUAUUCUCUAAAGGUCAUGCCUUCCUUGUGAAAUAUGUUGAAUUAAAGCUUUCCUUACCAACUGAGGCACAACCUAAGAAGAGUUAAUUUACAAUUUUUAUCCUGGGUUUCAAGGAACUUACAUAUGAUUUGUCAAUUUAUAAGAAGAAAACAAAUUCCCUGAAAUACACUUCCUUUUUAACUAACAAAAUUAAAUCAUAGGCAUAAUUUUGUAGCAAAAUCAUCAAAUCUUACAAAUAUAUUCUACAUCAUGGACGUCAUCUUCUCUUUAUAAUGACUCUAAUGCUGAUGGACAUUCAGUGUUCUUAAAACUUCCUUACACAUAAAAAUAAACAACAAUAAGAAAGAUACUCAUCUAUUCCUCUCAAAUAGCUGCUUCAGAACUUCUAGGAAGCUUGGAAACAUGAAAAAAUCUUUCCAACUUAAAAGAAAGCAAACUCUCCCACAUUUAUUUCCUUUUGGGCCAGUUUUAGGCAAAGCGAUGCUCUUUAAUCCUUGGAGCAUCUGGUGUCAACCUAAAUUAAUUUUUAUCUUACCUGAGUUUUGAAAGGAAUAGUUUACCUAAAUGAUUAAGAAAUAUGCUCUCAUAUGGCCAUAUAUUCCUUACAUAGGAAAAUGAUGGGGUCUAAAAAUUAUGACACACACACACACUCCCCACUACACACACACACACACACUCCCCCCUACACACACACACACACACACACACACACAUCCUGAUCAUCAGUGCAAAACCGUCCAGCCAAAAGGAGUUCAAUUUUAAGAGAAACUGAAGUUUGGUAGACUAUAUCAUUAUAAAUCCAGAAACAUUCUAUUUUGUAAACAUUGAGAAAAAAUUUAUAAGAUCAUC
rnacentral:lncRNA from 1 species